GGACACAGACAUGGAGACACUGGGAGACAUGGGGACACAGACAUUUGGGUACACUGGGAGAAAUGGGGUCACAGACACUAGGGACACAGAGACAUGGGGACGCAGACACUGGGAGUCAUGGGGACACAGACACUGGGAGACAGGGGGACACAGACACUGGGAGACAGGGGGACACUGAGACACUAGGGACACUGGCUGGGAGACAUAGGGACACUGGGAGACAUGGGGACACAGACACUGUCUGGGAGACACAGGGACACUGGGAGACAUGGGGACACAGACAUAUGGGGACAAUGGGAGACAUGGGGACACAGAGAGUCA